rnacentral:rRNA from 1 species
AAUAUUGCACAAUGGGCGAAAGCCUGAUGCAGCGACGCCGCGUGGGGGAUGAAUGNCUNNGGUUUNUNAACCCCUUUCAGUAGNNNNNAAUCGAGAGUGACUGUACCUGCAGCAGAAGCGCCGGCUAACUACGUUCCAGCAGCCGCGGUAAUACGUAGGGCGCAAGCGUUGUCCGGAAUUAUUGGGCGUAAAGAGCUCGUAGGCGGUCAGUCGCGUCUGCUGUGAAAACCCGAGGCUCAACCUCGGGCCUGAAGUGGGUACGGGCUGACUAGAGUGUGGUAGGGGAGACUGGAAUUCCUGGUGUAGCGGUGGAAUGCGCAGAUAUCAGGAGGAACACCGAUGGCGAAGGCAGGUCUCUGGGCCACAACUGACGCUGAGGAGCGAAAGCAUGGGGAGCGAACA